rnacentral:rRNA from 1 species
AUGGGGUGGCAGCGGUGGGGCAAGUUGUGCGGCGUGGGGUGGAGCGGGUGCGACGACCUCGACGCCUGCUGCCGCGACCACGACAAGUGCGUCGAAAUUAAAGGUACUUCACUCUGCAUCCUCUAGCUUCAGAAACCAAAAAAAUGGCAUCUGGAUCUUGCUAGUCUGAUGAGUAUCAAAUGCCACUAGAAGUUCAAGAAUUGCAUGAGGAGAGUGAAGAAGACUGGGAAGGUCGGCUUCUCCAAGAAAUGCCCAUAUGAAUUGGCUAUGGCGACGAUGACUCAGGGGAUGGACAUGGCGAUCAUGCUCAGCCAGUUGGGCAGCCAGAAAUUGGAACUGUAG